rnacentral:rRNA from 1 species
UACGAAGGGGGCUAGCGUUGCUCGGAAUCACUGGGCGUAAAGCGCACGUAGGCGGCUCUUUAAGUCAGGGGUGAAAUCCUGGAGCUCAACUCCAGAACUGCCUUUGAUACUGAGAGUCUUGAGUCCGGGAGAGGUGAGUGGAACUGCGAGUGUAGAGGUGAAAUUCGUAGAUAUUCGCAAGAACACCAGUGGCGAAGGCGGCUCACUGGCCCGGUACUGACGCUGAGGUGCGAAAGCGUGGGGAGCAAACAGG